UAAAUGAAGAACUUGAAAAAAGAACUUAAACAAAGAAAGAAGAAGAAAGAGGAAGAAAGACUUUUCUUUUCUUUCCGCACUUCCUUUUUUCUUUUAUCCCAU
rnacentral:ribozyme from 14 species